rnacentral:rRNA from 1 species
AAGAGGGGAUGGGUUCCCGAUAUGUCAUUGGAGUAGAUUCAAUGAUGAAAGAUUUAUCGGUUAUGGAUGGGGAUGGGUAAGAUUAGGUAGUAGGCGGGGUAACGGCCCACGUAGCCGACGAUCUUUAGGGGUUCUGAGAGGAAGGUCCCCCACAGUGGGGGUGAGGCACGGACCAGACUCCUACGGGAGGCAGCAGUGAGGAAUAUUGGUCAAUGGGCGGAAGCCUGAAAAGAGCCAAGUAGCGUGAA